CUGCGCUUUGGUGUGGCUAACCGUCUUGGGGCUGUCUUUUCACUGGGCCUCCCGUCGGGCUCGUGUGGCUCGGGAGGCACGCUUUCCUACGGUUGUCUGUGUGGGUCUACCCGUCUGCGGUAUGACGUUCGGUCUCAUGACGGAUCUCUGCUAGCCCCGUUGAUAUUCGCUAUCAGCGGGGCAGCUGUUUUGCUGGCACUAUGCACGUGCUGUUGUGGCGAGGGCCUCGAUCCUGCGCGUGCAUUUUGUCGGCUCUCACGGAUACCGUGCCCUUGGAGGAAUUCUCGGGCCUACGAGUCUCUUGAUUUUCACGGGUUGUCCCUUGCACUCGUUCAGUGCUCCGUGUCUCAUUGCUGAUGUGGCGAUGUCGGCGCGGGGCGUACUGCAGUGCAGGUGAGAUGCUUAUCCGAUUGGCCGAGCGAUUGCCGUUCUCACGUUGUUCUCCAACGACGAGGCGGUUCUCGUUUAGGCGCGCUACCUGGUUGAUCCUGCCAGUAGUCA
rnacentral:misc_RNA from 1 species